rnacentral:rRNA from 1 species
UACGUAGGGUGCGAGCGUUAUUCGGAAUUACUGGGCGUAAAGCGUGCGCAGGCGGUUUGCUAAGACAGGUGUGAAAUCCCCGGGCUUAACCUGGGAACUGCGCUUGUAACUGGCAAGCUGGAGUGUGGCAGAGGGGGGUGGAAUUCCACGUGUAGCAGUGAAAUGCGUAGAGAUGUGGAGGAACACCGAUGGCGAAGGCAGCCCCCUGGGCUAACACUGACGCUCAUGCACGAAAGCGUGGGGAGCAAACAGG